UAGCUGCCAUGACUUCUUCUUUAGAAGGUUUCUCAUUAAAAACAUCUCGGUCAGAAUCUGCACUUUUUGUAUCUUCUGGUUCUCGUUUAGUAAACUCAAGGAGGAAAAUAAAAAGUAAGUAAAUGAGUUAAAUUUUUCAUCUGGUUAAAAUUUAUGAACAAGAAAAUUGCAUUUAUAAUGAAGUAUUUGAGGAAACUAAGAAUUUACAUUUAUAGAAUAAAUGCUUAUUUCAGGAACUGCUUCCAAUCAUAGGAUGUGCAAGACAACUAAAUUUCUACAUUUGCCUAAUGAGAAAAUUCAUAUGAUGAAGAUGAAUGAUUUCAAAUGGAAUUUAAUAUCUUUUUUGGUGAAAAUUUUUUGGGGUACCCAUUUAAAAAAUAGGCAGUUUUUAGGUAGCUCUCUGCUUCUGCCUUCUAGUAUGUCCUACGUAACCUGCCAUCUAUUGCUUGCUUUUCACAAUUUAGAUUGCCUGGGUUUGAAUUGUAGUUUGCCACUUAGCUAAUUACAUGACUUUGGGGAAGUAAAUUCAUUACUUUCAUCUUCUUACUCAUAAAAGAGGAUGAUAAUAAUAAAUACCUCAAAAUGACACCUGAUAUGAAGAUUAAAUGAAGGAUAUAAAGUGUUUAGAGAAUAGUGCCUAACACAGAAGGCAAUAUAUACAUCUUAGUAAUUGUUAUUACUAUGAACAGGACCUGGUGCUGGUAGGAUGAGGAUUCAAAGAUGAAUCAGUAGUGGACCUUGACCUUCUCUUUUUUUUGGACAGAGUCCCAUCUGAUCUAUCUAAACCUUGAAGCUUGGAAGAAAGGACGUACAGUACAUUUUGAAUGAAGCAGAAAUCUCAGGAUCCUCAAGUCUACAGAGAAUUGAGAAAAAACUUUCAGUUGUUAAAAUUCUGGACUUCUAAAGGCCUACUCUUUGACUCUCAAAUUUCUAAGGAACAUGUGUGGUUUAAUCAACAAACUGGGGAAAGACAAUUUUUAAAUAAAGUGGAUGAAAAUUAAAUUUAGUGUAUAUUAA